UUGUACAGGAAUGAUGAUCCUAAUUUGGCAAUGAGAAAGGAUGUGUGGUGCUACUGAACAAUUAUUAAUCAAACUGCUAUAAUGCAGAUGUAGUUGAAAUAAUGAUUUUUUAAGUAAAAAAUUGUAUGUUGAAACAUUUACUUUAAAAUAUUGAUCAAAAUGGAUGGUGGACAGCAGCACAUUAAAUUUGUGCCUUAAUCACUACUGGACCAAGAGUUUGUAGAAGGAAAAUUGUCGACAACACCGGUACAUUUAGAAGCAAGAUGGAAACGAAAGAGUGUGUGAAUUACAUGUAUCAGUUUGGAUAUACAUUCAUCAAUAAGCUACAGAGUGGUUUGUAAACCCAUCAUUU